GGGUCGGGUCACUAAUGUUGGCGGUAUUUGAAGCUAGGCCUUCCCUCUAGCCAAACUGCCAUGUUUCAUUUCUCUAGAUAACUGGGAAGAGGCUUGGGCCAGACGUCUUCUGCCUCUGGGAUACCCCUCAGAUGGUUCACAGAGGGCUCUCAGAGCGUCUCCCAGAAGGCCAAAAGGACAUCUACUGAGGACAUGGGGGAGCAACAGAGAGGAAAGAGGACCAGAGCGGGAAACUGAGGCCACAUAAAGAAUCACUGAUUUUACAGAAAACAAUACUGAAGCCAGGGAGGAGAAAUGUCUUCCACAAAAUUACAGAAGAAAUUGACAGUUGGACAUGGCAUUUGAACCUUUCCAUUAAGUCUGCUGAAUCCUGGAUGGGAGAAGAGCUGAAAGAUGAGAAAGAGGAAGAGAGAACAGCAAGAAAGGAAAAAGAGAUAGAAGGAGAAAGAGAAGACAGGAGAAAAAAAGGAGGGAAGAAACCUCAAUAAAUAACAAAGGUGGAGUAAACAGGCGUCAAGAAAAUGUAUACAAGGAAAUGGAGUAUCAGAGGAGAAAGGAAACAGCCCCAUAUAGUGAUAUAUAAAGUGGGAGUGGAGAUCAGAAAAGCCAUCCAUAAAUGGUCUAAGAACAGUUGGUGGAAUCCAAACCAGUCUAACAAGUAAAUAGAAGUAUUCAAAGCAUAUUUUGUACAAGUCAAAGGAAAAAAACAAACAAAACCACGGGACCCUCCCUCAUCAAAUUUAAGGUUUACAUAGGAAUAAAACAGUUGAACAGACAAUGAAAUCCAGUAUCUCAGAAGGAGGGAAACAGCCCCAAUCAGUGAAAUGUAAAGAGGGAGUAGAGAUCAGAAAAAGCAUUUUGUAAAUGGUCUCAGAACAGUUAGUGGAAUCCAAAGCAAUCUAACAAGUAAAUAGAAGUAUGGAAAGACUAUUGUGUACAAGGCAACCUUAAAAAAAAAAAAGGAAGAAAAAAAGAAGAGAGGGCGCUACCUCAAUAAACUUACAUUUCAAUUCCAAUAAAACAGUUAAACACACAAGGAAAUCCAGUAUCACGGCAGCAGAGAACCAUCCCCAACCAGUGAAAUGUAAGGAGGAGGUAAAUAUCAGGAAAAACAAUCUGAAAAUGGUCUCAGGAGAGCUGAUAUAAUACAAACCAAUUGAACAAGCAAAUCUCAUUAGUUAAAGUCGACUGUAUACAAGACACAGCAAAUAAAAGUCACAAUUAGAAGCCCCUAUCUUCACAAACUUAAGUUAUACUGACAAAAAAACAGUUAAACAGACAAGGAAAUCCAGUGUCACAGUAGGAGGAAAGAAACGGCAAUAAGUGAUAGGUGUGGAGUGACCAAGCUUCAGGAAAAUGUAUAAAAGGAAAUGGAGGAUGACAGCAGAAGAGAAACAGCCCCAAACAAUGAAAUGAAAGGAGGGAAUAGAGAUCAAGGAAGUCAUUCCUGUCAUGAUAUCGAAAGAGUUGGUAGAAUCAUAACCAAACUAAAAAGUAAAUCGAAGUAUUUAAAGUGUACUGUGUACAUGGGACAGAAAAAUAAAAUAAAAUAAACAGGACAAUAGGGCUCUGCCUAAAGAAACUUCAGUUAUACUACCAAUAAAACAGUGAAACAAAAAAUAAAAUCCAGCAUCUCAGCAGGAGGGAAACAGGCCCAAUCAGUGAAAAGCAAGGAGGAGAUAGAGAUCUGUUAAAGCAAUCUGAAAAUGGUAUCCCGAGAGCUCAUGGAAUCCCAACCAAUUGAACGAGCAAAUUUCAUGAUUCAAAAUCGACUGUAUACAAGACACAGCAAAGAAGAGUCACCAGGAGAAGAACCUACCUUCACAAACUUAAGUUAUCCAGACAAUAAAACAGUUAAACAGACAAGGAAAUCCAGUGUCACAGCAGCAGGGAACAGUGGGAACAGGGAACAGCCACAAAGAGUGAACUCGAAGGAGGGAAUAGAGAUCAGGAAAAAGAAUUGGUAAAAGUUCUCACAACAGUUGGUAGAAUCCAAAGCAAUUUAACAAGAAAAUCGAAGCAUUCAAAGUGUCUUGUGUACAAGGCCCAGAAAAAUAAAAAAACAAAAAACAAGACGAGAGGGAC